UAUUUAUUAUAGACAGUGUGAGGGCCGACUAAGAGUUACUAGAGGUUAGUCAGUGUAUUUAUUAUAGACAGUGUGAGGGCCGACUAAGAGUUACUAGAGGUUAGUCAGUGUAUUUAUUAUAGACAGUGUGAGGGCAGACUAAGAGUUACUAGAGGUUAGUCAGUGUAUUUAUUAUAGACAGACUAAGAGUUACUAGAGGUUAGUC